rnacentral:rRNA from 1 species
AUGCUGCAGCACUACCGGCCUCGACCUCCCCGUCUUCCCGGCCUCCUCCGCGUCCCCUGGCUGCCUCUCUCUGCAUCGAACAGCAGCAGCUCAGCGCCUCGGCACCCCUACACCCCAAGUCCGUCGCCACCUCCCCGGAGAACGUCGCCCUCGCAAGGAUCCUCAUCGUCAGCCCCGAGCCCCGUGCCUGCUGCUGCCGCUAUUUUCCCUCUGUCAAACGAACGAACACCUUCACCGGAGACCGCCAAGACCAUCCAGGAUUCGCCAAGUACCGGUUCGAGUACGACUACCGCCGAAACCCCGAGGACACCAAGUGUACGACUACGCCCGAUGAUGUACCACUACUGUCGACGUGUACGACUACUAUGUAAACAUGAACCACUACUUUCACUACCGUCGCGAGAACGACUACUUCCACUAUGA